AAGACUAUAGACCUGCGGAGUACCUGCGGAAGGAUCAUUACAAAUCUGAUUGUGGCUCUAUUUCCUUGCGAGAUAGAGUUUACAUAUGCACAGUGCCGCAAGGUGCUGAUGUUCACGCUUGUUUGUUUGACAGAGUUAUUUGUUACCAUAAAAUUGACAACUUUUAACAAUGGAUCUCU
rnacentral:misc_RNA from 1 species